GACGAACCGUGCAAACGUUAUUCGGAAUCACUGGGCAUAAAGGGCGCGUAGGCGGCUCGAAAAGUCAGGGGUGAAAUCCGGCAGCUUAACUGUCGCAGUGCCUUUGAUACUGUCGAGCUCGAGGGAGGUAGGGGUCUGUGGAACUUCCGGUGGAGCGGUGAAAUGCGCAGAUAUCAGGAGGAACACCGGUGGCGAAGGCGGUUCUCUGGGCAUGUCCUGACGCUGAGGAGCGAAAGUGUGGGGAGCGAACAGG
rnacentral:rRNA from 1 species